AAGAUGUCUCUUACACAUCUGAAUGGAGAUGUUGCACCAGAAGCUGGAUACAAAAGUUUGAAUUUGCUCAUGCUUGGGAAUACAGAUUUGAUGAUGAUAAACACAUUGGUGCUACUGAAAGCCUUGAAGCUGGAUGUGAUCAUCUGGGGACUGAAAGCAGAAAAAGAAAAGAGGCACAAGAACUUAAGUGUUAUAAUAUUUAGAGGCUAAAAGGAGAAAGAGGAUAGAGUAAAGUAAUCUGAAAAAGUCUACCAAUAAGGAAGGUGGAAAAUUAGGAAAUGUGGUAUCCUAAUAGGAACCAAUUCCAAGUGAAACAGGCAUUUCAGAAAGGUGGAAGGGAUCAAAUUUAUGUAAUGCUCCUAGAGAAAUAAAAGGCUUAUGGAAGAUUGGAAGAUCAAAUGAGGUUUACUGCUGUUCUGGACCACAAAAAAGGAUACUGAAGUUGGUCCAUGGCCUGCUGGUUGAUGGUUCCCAUGCUAUUGUACACGAAGGUGCUGCUCAGGAGGAUGGCCAAGGCAAAGAUCCAGGAGUCAUUCUCAUUGUCACCCUGCCCUCAGUGUCGAGCAGAACUAGGGUGUGUUCUGGCUUCUUGGGAUGAGGCACACACCACAUCCAGAUUCCCUUGGUGUGAGACUUCACUGUGGAGCCUAGAGAGAAGCCUGUAGAAGAAGGAGAGGAU